GCGGCAGGCUAACACAUGCAAGUCGAGGGGCGAACGCGGGUAGCAAUACUUGGCGGCGACCGGCGCAAGGGUGCGUAACGCGUGAGCAACAUGCCCGUAUCAGGGGGAUAAUCCAGGGAAACUUGGUCUAAUACCCCAUAGUAAUUUUGUAAGGCAUCUUAUAAGAUUUAAAGCUUUGGUGGAUACGGAUUGGCUCGCGUGACAUUAGCUGGAUGGUAAGGUAACGGCUUACCAUGGCUAUGAUGUCUAGGGGUUCUGAGAGGAAGGUCCCCCACACUGGAACUGAGACACGGUCCAGACUCCUACGGGAGGCAGCAGUGAGGAAUAUUGGACAAUGGAUGGAAAUCUGAUCCAGCCAUGCCGCGUAGAAGGAAGAAGGUCCUAUGGAUUAUAAACUUCUUUUGUAUGGGAGCAAUAAGGCCUACGUGUAGGUUGAUGAGAGUACCAUACGAAUAAGCACCGGCUAACUCCGUGCCAGCCGCUGC
rnacentral:rRNA from 1 species